GAUGAACGCUGGCGGCGUGCCUAAUACAUGCAAGUCGAGCGAAUGGAUUAAGAGCUUGCUCUUAUGAAGUUAGCGGCGGACGGGUGAGUAACACGUGGGUAACCUGCCCAUAAGACUGGGAUAACUCCGGGAAACCGGGGCUAAUACCGGAUAACAUUUUGAACCGCACGGUUCGAAAUUGAAAGGCGGCUUCGGCUGUCACUUAUGGAUGGACCCGCGUCGCAUUAGCUAGUUGGUGAGGUAACGGCUCACCAAGGCGACGAUGCGUAGCCGACCUGGGAGGGUGAUCGGCCACACUGGGACUGAGACACGGCCCAGACUCCUACGGGAGGCAGCAGUAGGGAAUCUUCCGCAAUGGACGAAAGUCUGACGGAGCAACGCCGCGUGAGUGAUGAAGGCUUUCGGGUCGUAAAACUCUGUUGUUAGGGAAGAACAAGUGCUAGUUGAAUAAGCUGGCACCUUGACGGUACCUAACCAGAAAGCCACGGCUAACUACGUGCCAGCCGCCGCCGUAA
rnacentral:rRNA from 1 species